GAAGACUCAAUUCAUAAAUUUUCGUGUUCAAAGUUUAAUCGUCUGUUUUAAAUGAAUUUUUUUAUGAUUAGUAUUUUUAUUACUGUUAGAAGAUAAAAUAUAAAUAAUACUUUAUGCAUGAUUUAUCUUUUUAAAUUUUUUUAUAAUUUGUUUAAAUAAGACGGACAGUCAAACGUUAGAUACGAAAACCCAG
rnacentral:pre_miRNA from 1 species